UUUUAUCUUUUUUUUCAUGAACUUCUGGUAACUGUUUGUUAAUAAAUUAGAUAAUAAACAAUUAUACCUCAUAAAUUACUUCUUUCAUAGCACCUUUUGGCUGAUAUUUGAUAUCCACACCUUCAAUCUCUUCCAAGCCCAUAAACCCAUCGAAGUCGUCUAGGUGGUCAGGAAGCUUGACUUCCUUCCAUUUAAGCUCGUCCAAUGCAGCUUUCUUUGGCAUCGUGAUCAAAGCGUUGAAAAGUGUAGUAGUUUGCUCCACAUAGAAAAUGUAGGUAGACAAAAAUUUACACUAAGAAUUGGAACGAGGGAAUAAAAAUAAUUGCAUCGUAUAAGCUAAUAGAAAACAAAUAAUUAAAUGUUACGAAGACAUUAAACGACGAUUGGUUUUAGCAAUUCAAUGCUUUGCCAUGUUUUGCAUAAUUUCUAAAUAGUACAACCAUUUUGUAUUAAAAAUAUUGCUUGAGAAUUUUAGAAUCGAAUGAUCUGAGCUACAGUGCUUACAAGAGUAGUAAACACAAACGAUGUUACUACUAUAGUUCUAAUUCGGCUAGCAAUUGGUACAGGUGAAAGGAACAUUCUUAUUACUUUGAAAA